GCCCCUGUCGUCCAAUGGCUAGGACAUCACAACGAACUUUCAAAAAUCUCGGUGAAGAUCGGCGUUCAAAUCGUCGUAGGGGCG